GUUAAUUGAUUUUGAGAUGCUUGCAUCGAAGAGGAUUCAAUAUUAAGUGAGUGGCGAACGGGUGAGUAAACGUGGGUAACCUGCCCAGAAGUGGGGGAUAACACCUGGAAACAGAUGCUAAUACCGCAUAACAAAAUUAACCGCAUGGUUGAUUUUUAAAAGAUGGCUUCGGCUAUCACUUCUGGAUGGACCCGCGGCGUAUUAGCUAGUUGGUGAGAUAAAGGCUCACCAAGGCAGUGAUACGUAGCCGACCUGAGAGGGUAAUCGGCCACAUUGGGACUGAGACACGGCCCAGACUCCUACGGGAGGCAGCAGUAGGGAAUCUUCCACAAUGGACGCAAGUCUGAUGGAGCAACGCCGCGUGAGUGAUGAAGGCUUUCGGGUCGUAAAACUCUGUUGUUGGAGAAGAACGUGUGUGAGAGUAACUGCUCAUGCAGUGACGGUAUCCAACCAGAAAGCCACGGCUAACUACGUGCCAGCAGCCGCGGUAAUACGUAGGUGGCAAGCGUUAUCCGGAUUUAUUGGGCGUAAAGCGAGCGCAGGCGGUCUUUUAAGUCUAAUGUGAAAGCCUUCGGCUUAACCCGAAGAAGUGCAUUGGAAACUGGGAGACUUGAGUGCAGAAGAGGAGAGUGGAACUCCAUGUGUAGCGGUGAAAUGCGUAGAUAUAUGGAAGAACACCAGUGGCGAAGCGGCUCUCUGGUCUGCAACUGACGCUGAGGCUCGAAAGCAUGGGUAGCGAACAGGAUUAGAUACCUGGUAGUCAUGCCGUAACGAUGAUGCUAGUGUUGGAGGGUUUCGCCCUUCAGUGCUGCAGCUACGCAUAGCAUCCGCCUGGGGGGAGUACGACCCGCAAGGUUGAACUUCUAAAAAGAA
rnacentral:rRNA from 1 species